GCCUCCGUGGCCCAGUGGUUGAGCGUCAGGCUUACGAUCUGGAGGUCUCGGGUUCGAAUCCCGAUGGGGACA